UUUGUCACUUUCCUUUUUCAAAGGGGCUGUGGGGCUGUGGUGCUUAGAUUGGUCACUCUGUAAUUUUAUUUUUUCACAUUUUUUUGGGGUUGUGUGGAAGAUGAGGGGAAGGGGAUAAUACAACUUAUAAACAUGCACCUGAUGAUUCCAGUGAUUACAACCAUCUUUUUCUCUCGUAUGAGCUCAAUAUUUUUGUAGUAUGUAAGAUUCAAAAGAGUUGAUGCAAAGACCCAAAUGAUCUACGUAAUGGAAUAUUAAGGAAUCGUUUGGUUGCUGGUUAGGGAGCAAAUUAUUCAUGUAUUAAAAUCAACAUAACUAGGUACCAUGUUUGUUAGCAUCUUAGUUGCUUUGUAUAAAAUUCAACACACCAAGUACGGUGUUUGGUUAUCAGAAACUGUAUAACUAAUACAUGUAUGAGUUAUUAGGGA